rnacentral:rRNA from 1 species
GACAUAGGGUCCAAGCGUUGUCCGGAUUUACUGGGCGUAAAGAGCGCGUAGGCGGCUUGUUAAGUGUGAAGUGAAAUCUCCAGGGCUCAACCCGGAAACUGCUUUACAUACUGGCAAGCUGGAGUGAUGCAGAGGUUUGUGGAAUUCCUGGUGUAACGGUGAAAUGUGUUGAUAUCAGGAGGAACACCCAUGGCGAAGGCAGCAAACUGGGCAUCAACUGACGCUGAGGCGCGAAAGCGUGGGGAGCAAACAGGG